UUCGCAAUGCCCGAAAGGGUGACGAUGCGACGCCGCGUGAGCGAAGAAGGCCCUAGGGUUGUAAGGCUCUGUCAGGGGUUAAGAAAUGUAGAUAGGUUAAUACCCUGUUUAUUUGACAAAGGCCCCAAAGGAAGCCACGGCCAACUCUGUGCCAGCAGCCGCGGUAAUACAGAGGUGGCAAGCGUUGUUCGGUAUUAUUGGGCGUAAAGAGCACGUAGGUGGUUUUGUAAGUCAGAUGUGAAAGCCUUCUGUUCAAAGGAAGAACGGCAUCUGAAACUGCAGAUCUUGAGUGUAGGAGGGGAGAGUGGAACUUCUGGUGGAGCGGUGAAAUGCGUAGAUAUCAGAAGGAACGUCGGCGGCGAAAGCGACUCUCUGGCCUAUUACUGACACUGAGUGUGCGAAAGUUAGGGGAGCAAACGGGAUUAGAUACCCCGGUAGUCCUAACUGUAAACGAUGGGCACUAAGUAGAGGGGUUUU
rnacentral:rRNA from 1 species